rnacentral:piRNA from 1 species
ACAAGUUAUACUCUGAGAAAGCA